UACGGAGGUUCCAAGCGUUGUUCGGAAUUACUGGGCGUAAAGGGAGCGCAGGCGGGCAAGUCAGUCUGAAGUGAAAUCCCGGGGCUCAACCUCGGACUUGCUUCGGAUACUGCUUGUCUUGAGUUCGUGAUAGGAAGACGGAAUUCAGGGUGUAGCGGUGAAAUGCACAGAUAUCCUGAGGAACACCGGUGGCGAAAGCGGUCUUCUGGCGCGAAACUGACGCUGAGGCUCGAAAGCGUGGGUAGCAAACGGGAUUAGAUACC
rnacentral:rRNA from 1 species